UUUUGUAUAAUGGGUCAGCGACUUAUAUUCUGUAGCAAGGUUAACCGAAUAGGGGAGCCGAAGGGAAACCGAGUCUUAACUGGGCGUUAAGUUGCAGGGUAUAGACCCGAAACCCGGUGAUCUAGCCAUGGGCAGGUUGAAGGUUGGGUAACACUAACUGGAGGACCGAACCGACUAAUGUUGAAAAAUUAGCGGAUGACUUGUGGCUGGGGGUGAAAGGCCAAUCAAACCGGGAGAUAGCUGGUUCUCCCCGAAAGCUAUUUAGGUAGCGCCUCGUGAAUUCAUCUCCGGGGGUAGAGCACUGUUUCGGCAAGGGGGUCAUCCCGACUUACCAACCCGAUGCAAACUGCGAAUACCGGAGAAUGUUAUCACGGGAGACACACGGCGGGUGCUAACGUCCGUCGUGAAGAGGGAAACAACCCAGACCGCCAGCUAAGGUCCCAAAGUCAUGGUUAAGUGGGAAACGAUGUGGGAAGGCCCAGACAGCCAGGAUGUUGGCUUAGAAGCAGCCAUCAUUUAAAGAAAGCGUAAUAGCUCACUGGUCGAGUCGGCCUGCGCGGAAGAUGUAACGGGGCUAAACCAUGCACCGAAGCUGCGGCAGCGACACUAUG
rnacentral:rRNA from 1 species